CCUACGGGAGGCAGCAGUGGGGAAUAUUGCACAAUGGGGGGAACCCUGAUGCAGCAACGCCGCGUGGGUGAAGAAGUACUCCGGUAUGUAAAGCCCUGUCAGCAGGGAAGAAAAUGACGGUACCUGACCCAGCAGCCCCUGCUAACUACGUGACAGCAGCCGCGGUAAUACGUCGGGGGAACGCGUUAUCCGGAUGUACUGGGUGAAAAGGGAGCGUAGACGGCAAGGCAUGUCGGGAGUGAAAGCCCGUGGCCCAACCACGGGACUGCUUUGGAAACUGAGUGGCUGGAGUGCAGGAGGGGUAAGCGGAAUGCCUAGUGUAGCGGUGAAAUGCGUAGAUAUUAGGAGGAACACCGGUGGCGAAGGCGGCUUACUGGAC
rnacentral:rRNA from 1 species